rnacentral:sRNA from 1 species
UAGAGGUGAGGAAAUUUGAACAUGUGAUUGUUAGGUCAACAAGUCUCUGAUACCAUGUUAAAAAAUUAUCUCAUCUA